rnacentral:rRNA from 1 species
ACAUAAGUAACGAUAAAGCGGGUGAAAAGCCCGCUCGCCGGAAGACCAAGGGUUCCUGUCCAACGUUAAUCGGGGCAGGGUGAGUCGACCCCUAAGGCGAGGCCGAAAGGCGUAGUCGAUGGGAAACGGGUUAAUAUUCCCGUACUUGGUGUUACUGCGAAGGGGGGACGGAGAAGGCUAUGUUGGCCGGGCGACGGUUGUCCCGGUUUAAGCGUGUAGGUGUGUGUUCCAGGUAAAUCCGGUUCACUUUAACACUGAGGCGUGACGACGAGGCACUACGGUGCUGAAGCAACAAAUGCCCUGCUUCCAGGAAAAGCCUCUAAGCAUCAGGUAACAUCAAAUCGUACCCCAAACCGACACAGGUGGUCAGGUAGAGAAUACCAAGGCGCUUGAGAGAACUCGGGUGAAGGAACUAGGCAAAAUGGUGCCGUAACUUCGGGAGAAGGCACGCUGACACGUAGGUGAAGUGAUUUACUCA